ACUCAGGCGCUCAUCGCCAACUUAUCGGACCAAAAGUUCUCGGGAGAAGGUCAAAGAGCUGUCAGUGGAGCUCUCAGUUCCCAGCCCUGCGGAAAAAGACAACAAAAGACAUUUGUGAAAUGGUCGCCACAUAGGUGAAGAAGUUAACGGAACUCUGGGUAGAAAUAGGGAUAAGCCUUGAGCGAAUGAUCAGCCGUCUAGACGCAACUCAGGCGCUCAUCGCCAACUUAUCGGACCAAAAGUUCUCGGGAGAAGGCCAAAGAGCUUUCAGUGGAGCUCUCAGUUCCCAGCCCUGCGGAAAAAGACAACAAAAGACAUUUGUGAAAUGGUCGCCACAUAGGUCAAGAAGUUAACGGAACUCUGGGUAGAAAUAGGGAUAAGCCACGAGCGAAUGAUCAGCCGUCUAGACGCAACUCAGGCGCUCAUCGCCAACUUAUCGGACCAAAAGUUCUCGGGAGAAGGCCAAAGAGCUGUCAGUGGAGCUCUCAGUUCCCAGCCCUGCGGAAAAAGACAACAAAAGACAUUUGUGAAAUGGUCGCCACAUAGGUGAAGAAGUUAACGGAACUCUGGGUAGAAAUAUGGAUAAGCCUUGAGCGAAUGAUCAGCCAUCUAGACGCAACUCAGGCGCUCAUCGCCAACUUAUCGGACCAAAAGUUCUCGGGAGAAGGCCAAAGAGCUGUCAGUGGAGCUCUCAGUUCCCAGCCCUGCGGAAAAAGACAACAAAAGACAUUUGUGAAAUGGUCGCCACAUAGGUCAAGAAGUUAACGGAACUCUGGGUAGAAAUAGGGAUAAGCCACGAGCGAAUGAUCAGCCGUCUAGACGCAACUCAGGCGCUCAUCGCCAACUUAUCGGACCAAAAGUUCUCGGGAGAAGGCCAAAGAGCUUUCAGUGGAGCUCUCAGUUCCCAGCCCUGCGGAAAAAGACAACAAAAGACAUUUGUGAAAUGGUCGCCACAUAGGUCAAGAAGUUAACGGAACUCUGGGUAGAAAUAGGGAUAAGCCACGAGCGAAUGAUCAGCCAUCUAGACGCAACUCAGGCGCUCAUCGCCAACUUAUCGGACCAAAAGUUCUCGGGAGAAGGUCAAAGAGCUGUCAGUGGAGCUCUCAGUUCCCAGCCCUGCGGAAAAAGACAACAAAAGACAUUUGUGAAAUGGUCGCCACAUAGGUGAAGAAGUUAACGGAACUCUGGGUAGAAAUAUGGAUAAGCCUUGAGCGAAUGAUCAGCCAUCUAGACGCAACUCAGGCGCUCAUCGCCAACUUAUCGGACCAAAAGUUCUCGGGAGAAGGCCAAAGAGCUGUCAGUGGAGCUCUCAGUUCCCAGCCCUGCGGAAAAAGACAACAAAAGACAUUUGUGAAAUGGUCGCCACAUAGGUCAAGAAGUUAACGGAACUCUGGGUAGAAAUAGGGAUAAGCCACGAGCGAAUGAUCAGCCGUCUAGACGCAACUCAGGCGCUCAUCGCCAACUUAUCGGACCAAAAGUUCUCGGGAGAAGGCCAAAGAGCUGUCAGUGGAGCUCAGUUCCCAGCCCUGCGGAAAAAGACAACAAAAGACAUUUGUGAAAUGGUCGCCACAUAGGUCAAGAAGUUAACGGAACUCUGGGUAGAAAUAGGGAUAAGCCACGAGUGAAUGAUCAGCCGUCUAGACGCAACUCAGGCGCUCAUUGCCAACUUAUCGGACCAAAAGUUCUCGGGAGAAGGCCAAAGAGCUGUCAGUGGAGCUCUCAGUUCCCAGCCCUGCGGAAAAAGACAACAAAAGACAUUUGUGAAAUGGUCGCCACAUAGGUCAUUCAGUUAACGGAACUCUGGGUAGAAAUAGGGAUAAGCCACGAGUGAAGAAUGAUCAGCCAUCUAGACGCAACUCAGGCGCUCAUCGCCAACUUAUCGGACCAAAAGUUCUCGGGAGAAGGCCAAAGAGCUGUCAGUGGAGCUCUCAGUUCCCAGCCCUGCGGAAAAAGAGAACAAAAGACAUUUGUGAAAUGGUCGCCACAUCGGUCAAGAAGUUGACGGAACUCUGGGUAGAAAUAGGGAUAAGCCACGAGCGAAUGAUCAGCCGUCUAGAUGCAACUCAGGAGCUCAUCGCCAACUUAUCGGACCAAAUGUUCUUGGGAGAAGGCCAAAGAGCUGUCAGUGGAGCUCUCAAUUCCCAGCCCUGCGUGUGCACCUGCCAGCUGCCAUGUCCAUGCAAAAUGACAACACCGCACUGGGAUAUAGGCACACCUCAACAAUGCCAUGAGCAAAGAGCCGUUACACUGUGGCAUCCAUUGUGCUCCACAAUGUGGCAAAGAGGCGGAAUACUGUGGCAUCCAUUGUGCUCCGCAAUGUAGCAAAGAGGCGGAAUACUGUGGCAUCCAUUGAGCUCCGCAAUGUAGCAAAGCGCCGGAAUACUGUGGCAUCCAUGCGGUUCAUCGAGGAAAACAGGCACUUUGACCUGAUAAAGUCUGGGUUCAAGUACGUGACAUGGUCAUAUUAGACGCAGUGAGAAGCCCACCAGACCACACAGCCACAUAUCAGGCCACUCGUAUAGAACUGUCAAGGAAAAUGGCCCACACCAACAACCCUGCACCGAAGCAGGCAUCGUGCCAACCAGAUAGUGGUGGCAUGAACAGUGGAUAUCCUGGCACAAUCCAAGCUGUGAAUCCAAACCAUGCAUUCAGAUUAUUCGGUCAGAGCAAUAAAGAUCGUUCCGACUUUUCUAUUGAUAACGUUGACAAAUCCCUGCUUCAGCCAGAAAAGGGCUAGCGUCGGGGACAAGGUCCACUUUGAUGCCCUGCCAAAUCCAAAGCCGACCUACUACGCACAGAAGUGGUGGGCCACCAAUGUCAAAAAAGUGCAGUGUGCUCAACUUGCCUAGGCCAAUGACAGCGGAGACAAGGCUUUUCUUUCCGACAACGAUAUCGCCAAGAUCCUACUUGACCCAAAGGAG
rnacentral:lncRNA from 1 species